ensembl:lncRNA LINC00960 long intergenic non-protein coding RNA 960
GACGUGGACAAUGGCAGUGGCCCCUGGCUGGCCCAAGAGCCGGGUCCAGAUACGCGCGCCUGAUUCCAGGCGUCAUAACCAACCCGGGGCCGCGAGGCUGGGAUCAGGCACCCCGGAGCCGCUUGCCCGUGGCCGGGCUGCUCUCCCCCUCUAAGCCUAAGCACCGCCAGUCGCGGCGCUGCGCUUUCCGCCGACCUCCCAGAGCGUCCCGCCGUCGCCGGCGGCCAGCCUCGCGCAGGACCAGUGUGGCGCCGCCCUGCUGUUGCUGGGGGGCGCCCGAGGCCUCCAUUCCUUGCCCAGGCUUCCGGCUCUCGGGGCGGCCUCCCUUCCGCCCACGCUCCAGGGCUUCCCCGGCUCCCGAGCUCCGAGCUUCCACCACAUCGGCCGGCUCAGGACAGGGCUUCCACUGUAAAGUCGGCUGCCAGACGUGUUGGAGCUCACCGGAUUUGUCCCUGGUGCCUUAUUUAGUUCACUUGGUGAGGUCAUGUUUUUUUCCUGGAUGGUGUUGAUGGUAGUAGAUGUUCUUCAGUGUCUGGACAUUAAAAUCUUGGGCAUGCAGCACCAUAUGAGAGGUUUAAAAAAUAAAAUUAAAAAAGAGAAAAGAACCCAGAGUUGAUCUCUGCAGCAUGCCAUCACUGCUGGGGAUGAGGAAACGGUGAUUUCAGGACUGUUUUUUCUGUCUCUUCAGUGCCUCUUUCAGUGAUCUGAGGUUAAAACCAGAUACCCAGUGGUGGGAUUGCUGAAUCAGACAGAGCCAAUAGACGAUCAGUAAUGGUGGCCAAUCAUCAGCUAGAAACAAAGUAUUUAGCAGUGCUUGAAAACACCAAAACUCUGAGACCACUGACCUUCCAAAACUUCAACAGCCCUGAGUGAAAAGUCCAAACACAUUUAUCCACCAUUCAAAGACCCUUUAUUUUCUGUCCUCUGUGCAUCUCAGUAGUCUCUUUUUACCACACUGUCUAUAUACUGCAUGAGCCAUUUACGUGAAACUAUCUGACACUCCAAGGCAUCUUAUACUAUAUAUUCAACCAUGUAUCCCUAGUACCUAGCACAGUCCUGGCAUAUAGUUUGCUACUAAACAUUUGCAGAAUGAAGGAAUUAUCUUGUAUCCAGGUUCAAGUUUUAAGUUGAUUCUUCACUAAACAAAGUAUUACAGUUCACAAAUAAUCUACUUCCUUUUUUACAAAUGGGAUCGAUCUUAAUCUUAUCCCCUAAUAACAUUACUUUCAUUUACUCCCAUCUAAAUAUACUGUCCUAAGAGAGCAAUAAGAAAGAGAGUUGAAGCUGGAGCUUGAAGAAUUGUACAUGGUCCUGUGAUAACCUACCUUGUUUUAACCUGAGUGACUGUCUCCUAGCAGAGAGCUGGACAGACUCCAUUUUAGUUUCUUCAUGUGCAGCCCCCUUUACCUCCCUCCCUUAAGGACAUAACUAGUGUAAACUGACUCAAAGCAUGUCCAGGAAUCACUUACUGUUAAGAUAUUGAGGCAAGCUGCGCCAGCAGCUCCUGGGGAUGCGCUCGGUGAAUGGCACCCAAAACCCCUGCAUUUCUCUCUUUGUGAUAGUUUAAGCCCCUGCACCUGGAACUGUUUAUUUUUUUGCAACUGCUUUUGUAACCAAUUAAUUUUUUAACUUUUUGCCAGCUCUGCUUCUGUAAAAAUUGCUUCAGCCAAACUCCCCCCUCCCCUAUUUAGACCACGGUAUAAAACCAAAACCAACCCCUUCCUCGGGGCCGAGAGAAUUUUGAGC